GGUCUUAUAUUCAAAAUAAUGAUUUUAAAUUGCAAGUUUAAAGUUGGGUUAGCCCUAAGGCUU
rnacentral:tRNA from 1 species